AACAGAUAAAUUGAAAUGGGUUGCUUGUCGAUUAACUGGAAGAAACCGGGGAACGAAAGAAAGUUGUGUUUCUCUUAACGGAUUACGUACCCAAUAUUUUGUACUUGGAAAGCGCAACGAAAGGUAAAUAUUAUCAUGUACAUAUUUAAGAAGAUGCUAGUGCUAUACUUUUCACGAAAAAAAAUUUGACUUUAUAAAUGUCAUCGCAUGCAAACCCGAAAAUCAGUCAAAGAUUGUCAAGAACGGACGCAAGUCAACUCGACCCACUGGCAAAACGCCCUACUUUUUUAACAACACGCCUCCCUUUAUAAAAUAUCCCACUCUUGUUAAGGGAGCUACCAUGUGAGUUUUAUUGGGGGGUACUGGUAGGGGUGUGUUAUUUGAAAAAUAUGCGGAACUGGAGUUCUGUCAACUUAUAAGUUAAAAAAAAGCUAGGAUUUAUGUAAAGAAUUACCAGGAACGAAAAUAGUGAAAAAUUAACUGGCAGGACAGAGAUUUCAAUUAAAAAAAAAAUGCAGGAUAACAUUCUUAUCCUAGCCCCCACCCCAUAAAAAUCAAGUGGUGGCUUCCUUACCAACUCGCCCCGCUUUUAAAAAAAAUUGUCCCACUUAUGAAAAGGUUAAAUCCGUAAAAUAUACUCCUGUCAACAAUGGCAACUCGCCUAACUUGGGUAAAAUCCAAAUGAAUAUAGAAUAUAAAAAAAAUAAAGGUCUGCCAACUCGCCCGUAUUUACUUAUCUACCCAGAAAUUAGAAGACACUGAUACAAAAAAAUCGAAAUUUAAUAUAUGAUAUUUAUUGAUUUAAAAUGAUGUUUCACUUCUUAAAAUAUGAUUGUAGAUUCAUUAUUUAUUAUUAAAUUAUUAUGUAAUUUAUGUAUUUAUUUAUUGUAUCAUAAUCUAUUUGAUUCUUUUUUUAGCUGACUCAGAAUCAUGCAUGAUGAUACUGUUUGGGCCCCCUGGUUGUACAUAGGAAGUGGACUCCUCGAGAAGAUGAAAGGUCUGCUUUACAUCAUUUUCAAUGAAAGUACAAGUACUUUGAGAAGUAGGAGAAGCUAAGCAACAGAACAGAAUUCAUUUGGGUCAUUGAUGUCUAGAUUAUAUAGUGGAUUCAUAGAUUGUCAUAUUGAUUUAUGUGCAUAUGAGCACAGAGGAGCAGUAGUCAAUGAAUAAUUUUGUGAUGAGAGCUUGUUACCAAAUGAAAGGAAAGUACAGUAUUGACAAUGAUUGAUAUCACUGGUGAACAUGUAUGUCAUGUAGGUGUGAAUGUCCUGCAAAAAAGAACUGAUAUCAAAUUACCAUUCACAGUGAACAUGGUGAAGAAUAACCAAUACCAUGAAAACAGGACAUAGAAGACUACCUCACAAAUAUGGGAAUUUUACAAAAAAUACAACAUUUAAAUUUACAAAGAAGACAUUUAUUUUGACAUUCAUGGACUUUGAAAGUAAAGAAAUUAGAAUGUGAAUAAAAAUCCUUGGAAAUAAAAUUUUGAACUUUGAA